UACGUAGGGGGCAAGCGUUGUCCGGAUUUAUUGGGCGUAAAGAGCGUGUAGGCGGCCAGACAGGUCCGUUGUGAAAACUGGAGGCUCAACCUCCAGACGUCGAUGGAAACCGUCUGGCUAGAGUCCGGAAGAGGAGAGUGGAAUUCCCGGUGUAGCGGUGAAAUGCGCAGAUAUCAGGAAGAACACCCGUGGCGAAAGCGGCUCUCUGGGACGGUACUGACGCUGAGACGCGAAAGCGUGGGGAGCGAACAGG
rnacentral:rRNA from 1 species